UUUGUUUUUGUUUUUAAAUUUUAAAAUUGUCUUUUUCUUCCAAAGGCCAAGGUCAGGGUUAAAAAAAAGGUGGUGAGAUCUGAGGUCCAGUGUGUUCCCUUCCAAAGUCAGUUAAUUUAUGUUUCUCUGUGUGCAUACCUGACAUUCUGAUGCUGGCAGCCCUUCUGAACAACGUAAAGCAAGAUUGCAGGGAGGUGUGGUAAGGACAGAAGGACAGUCCUCCCACUGCAAGAGCUCACUGUGUGCCUCCGCUGUAUUUCUGCUUUAAUUUUUCAAAAUCAAGAUACAGUUAUAACACCAGGGGAUAGGCUGAACUAAGUAGUAACCUGGAAAUUAUUAGCUGUAAAAUUGCAUAUUUUUUUUCAAAUAUUUUGUCCCCACACUCUUUUUUUGUUUGUUUGCUCUCAUUAUCAUAGAGUCUCAUGGAGUUCAGGCUGGUCUCAAAUGCUCUAUGUAGCUGGGCCUGGCUAUAAACACCUGAUCCUCCUGCCUUCACCUCCCAAGUGCUAGGCACAGAUCAUUGCUUGUAAUUAUGUGACUACAUGAUAGACAAACCUGGAGAACCUUAUGCUAAGUGAAAUAAGCCAGGCUCAGAAGGAGGUGAUGUCAUGUCCAUGAGGAAUCUAAAAUUAUGACACUCGUAGAAGCAGAGCAAGACUGAGAGAGGUGGCUGGGAAGAUACUGGCCAAAGGCUUCAAAUGCUUCUCAGGCCUGCAAUCUCAAGAUGAGUUGAGUUCUAGGCUAGCCUGGGCUACACAAGAGUCAAUUAGAAACAUAUCCAGAAACAGGGUAUGUGUGUAUUGGGGUGGGGUGAGACAGGAGCAAGAUGGCCAGUAAGAAAUCUCUUGUACCACUAUGGUGACUUUGGUUAAUUAUAAUGCAUUGUAUACAUGAAAAUCCCUUAGAAUUUUAAAUGUCCUCACCACACACAAACAUGAGUUAAUAGACCUAUUAUUAACUUUUGCAGCCAUUCCACUAAAUGCACACAGGGUAUAAAUAUCAACAUUUUCUAUUUGUUCUUUAAAAAUAAUUAAGAUUUAAAAGGAAAAAAAAUUGAAUGACAUUUUCCAAUAGGAAUCUGGGGACUCAAGCUAGGGCAAUGCCACUGAGUUUUGUCGCUGUUGUUUACAGGACUGUAACAAAAACAGGCUGGCAUUCAAGCAUCUGUGGCACAAGAGAAGAGAACCAGAACAAGAGAAGAGGAAAACUCAAGUUCUGAAGAAAACUGGAGUCGUGAGAAUGGAAACAAAUGCAAUCAUGCAACAUGCUAACCAGCUGAAAGGGAAGCACGAGCGUGCACGAACGCACGCACAGCACGGGCACACACACACAGACAAAGACACACACACACAGACAGACACACAGACACACAGACACACACACACAGACAAAGACACACACAUAGACACAGUCACACACACAGACACACACAGAGACACACAGACACACAGACACACACACAGACACACAGACACACACACAGACACACAGACACACACACACACUCACUCUUUCACUAAUAACAGACAGCCUAGUCAUACUGUGGGUAUGACUUUAAAUACAUCCUUGGCUUUGUCCACCUAAAAUCAAUGAGAUCCAAGUUCACAAAAAUGUAUUAAUCGUAUAGCACAAGGCAAAGAAACUCUGUCCUAAGGCGUUCCCACCAAAACACAAGUUACCGUAAUGCAGCGGUCACUCAUGUUCAGUGAGGAGCCACAGGCAUGAGCAGUGUACCCCAGCAGAGAGUGGCAGGUAUGGGACGAGACGGGGCUCAGGACAGAAGCUCAAGCUAUUCAGACAUGGACCAGAACACGGUUUGGUUUAUUUUCAGCCUUAACGUGGUCAGCCCUCCUCCUAAUGCCAGAAAUCGCCAAGAUCUCGGAAAGGCUCAAACAUCACGUGCCACCGAGUGGAGGCUUGGGCACUCAAACGCUUCAGAGAUGGAUCCAUAGAAACAAGGUGGCACGGAUAUAAAGAAAAUGCAUUUGGGUGAACAUCUGAAGCGCCCAUCUCGGGGAUCAAGAGGGAAGGCAUGAGUCACCGGUCAAAAAAUCUGCUUGUGAAAAGCACUGAGAAACGAGAGUGGACGGUUCUACUGGUUUUGACUUCAGAGUUCUUCAACAUUUCCUUCAGGCUGUCAGAAUGAAAAGAGGGUAUGCCAAACGGCCAAGGUAUUCUCCUUUUCCUCUUCUAUGCCUUCCUUGGGAUAGGGAUUUGCAGGGAAUCACCACGAACUCAAGCCCAAAUAUGGGCCACUAGUAGACAAUAAACUAGGCAAGUGUUUCCAAGCCGGUGGGGUUCAAGGCUUCCUUGUUCACCCAGGUUUGGAAGGUCAGGGGGUGAACAUGGCUAACACAACUUUGAGUUGUGGCUUUCACAACCCUGAGAGGGUAUCUGGAAUUCUUUGAAAAGAUCGGAAAGGCCACAAAGGAGUUGGAGUGACUUAUUACACAGGAGCCAGUUGGUUUGCUCUGAGCCCACAUUGGCCCGUUCUCUCCUCAGGUCUGCGGGUAGCUGACUCCUCUUCUUCCUCUUCCCCACCCCCCCACCCCUGAUGCCUUUAGUUAAUUGCAGCUGUGGUCAAGGGCGGGCAGCCAGAAGUCCCAUCAUGCACUCCUCCACAGGAAGUUCCCAAGAUCUCUUCCUGAACAGGAAAUUUCCUGUGGUCCAACAGACAUUCCUCUCAGCGUUUAUCGCUCUCUUACAUUUGUUUUGGCAGAUACAGAGUCUUGGGACGAAGGACUGCACAUGCCAAAUAACAGCUAGGGGCCUGGACCACGAAGCGUUCCAAGCCCGGAUCCUACAGUGACCCAGUAGGCAGUGUUCCAAGUUGAAUCAAUGUCCAAGUGAGCGGGACAGACAUCUGUGCCUCAGUGACUGUGCCUUGCAUCUGAAGACUCUACCAGGCCCUCCUCAAUGGACAGAUGUGGUGGCUACAUCAGUUACCGAGUGUCGGGUGCCCAAGGCAGGACCUGGGACCUGGUUCCCGUUGAGUAUUUAUGACCGAGUGAAAGUUCCAAGAUCGUUAGUCACUAUCCCCACAACAGAGACAGACUUUGAAAUAAAACUUAAAAGAACUGUAAGGAUGAAUUCCUUAGAUUCAGACAUCGGCUUCUCCGCCCUGUUUUCAUCUCUCGGUCCAUCCCUUCCCCCUCUUCUCCUUUUAGAUGGUCUGGCCACAGAUCUCAGGGUGGCCGUAAACUUGCCUUGUGAACCAGCAAGGUGACCUCAAACUCAAGGUCCUAUUUCAUCCUCUCAAGCGCCCCGGUUACAGUUGUGUGCCGUGUGCCACCACAUUUGAUGGAAGCAUUGGAAUCUGCUUCUGGUUUUGGGUUUUUUUUUUUUUUGUUUUGUUUUGUUUUUUGUUUUGGGAGGAAGGCUCUUGGGUAGCCCAGGGUACCCAUCAACACUAUGUUACUAAAGCUGGUCUUCAAUUCUGGAUCUUUCUGCCUCUACUUCCUACAUUUGGGGAUUCCAGGUGUGUGCCACCACACCAGUUAGACAUUUAAAAAUGUAAAUAUUCAGAGGCAUAAAUCUGGUAAUUCUGUGAUGUGCGUGUUCUACCCUUUACCUUAGCUCCCAGACAUGAUUUGUAUCAAAACACUGUACCAACACCGACUUAAACAAAAAGUUGCUAUCAAUCAUGACAUAAAAUAGCCAUUGGGAGCCUUCUAAGUCACUUACAUACAAAUAAAAGUUAAUGCUCCUCCAACACUCCCCCCCCCCCCCCUUCCCUUAGCUCAGCAACCCAGUUUGGCUUUACAGAUGGAAAUGGAGCACCAGUAGCAGAGGAGACCUGACUCUGAAACAAGGAUUAACUUCAGCAUCUUUCAUCACUGAGUGCAGAGGGAUGACACUCAAGUGAGGCAGUGGGAGACCAGGAGUGGGCACCCACAGGAGCCUCUUGUGCAUUUUUUUUCUCACCAGGUGGGAGCUGAUUAAACAGAAGGGAAAACAUCUCAAAGAAAGAGGGCAGUGUACCGCCCUGCCUAUGGCUCUGUGCUGGGCCAGCGGGGUCUUGGUUUCCAGGUUUUUAUACAUUGUGUGUGUGUGUGUGUGUGUGUGUGUGUGUGUGUGUGUGUGUGUGUGUGUAAUAGAGAUACAUAAGCACAUAUGUACAUAUGUGCAUACACUUGUGUAUAUGUAUGUUUAUAUACACAUAUGUAUAUGAUUGUAUAUGAACAUGUAUAUGUAUACAUAGUAUUGUUUUAUUUCCUUGUUCUGUCCAGAUACUCCGCUUUGAGGCUCUACUCACAGGUUUUUCUCCUUUGCUUCAUUAACUGAACCACUUUCUUACACCAAUUUCAGCACGUUAAAGUCUAACAGUGAUGCCCCAUCCC